CUCUCGGUAGCCAAGUUGGUUUAAGGCGCAAGACUGUAAUAUGUGCUACACAAUACGAUGUGUGGUUGUAAAGUAAUCUUGAGAUCGGGCGUUCGACUCGCCCCCGAGAGA
rnacentral:tRNA from 1 species